UUUAAGAAAUUGAAGGGACUACAAAAGCCAUCUUGUCCAAUUCUUUGUCAUGCCAGAAUAACAAAGCACUCCCAAAAAUGCCCAUCCAAUCUCUGUUUAAAGACCUGCAAAGAUCAAGAAUCCAUCGUCUGUACUCCACUAUUUUGUUUUAAUCCUGCUGUACCCUGCCUUGAGCCGUGGGGAGAGCCAUCCUUCCCCCUGUCAGCCAUUGGAGAGCAGAAAUCUGCAUUGGAAGGAGGGUGCUGCAGUCCAGCCUCAGAGAGGGAGUCCUCCCAGUUGGUGUGGCAUCAGAGACCAUCUCCUCUAAUCAGCACGAAGCCAGUCCAAGCUGGGCAUGAGUGGGAAAAACAAAAGACCUUACUGUAUAAAAAUGUCUGCUUUAUUUGUGUCAAACAUGUCAGCUUCUUUGAGUGGCAUACCACUGGCUGUCAUCCCUUCCGUUUGGAUUGAAUAAAAUACCUCGGUGGCUUCUGCUUCAACAGAUGAGAUUUCUUUGAUUGGAGAACAUUGGGUUUUAGCUUUAAACGUCACUAGGCAUGGACUCACAGUAGCCUAGUGCUGGAUCUCACUAUCCACUUGUCAGGUUUUGGUAUCUGCGUGCUGUGUCUCGCUAUCUGUGGUCUGAAUCUCACUAUCCGUGAACCACUCUAAAUUGCUCGAUUUCAUUCUCACUUCCUUAAGAAAAUGAAAUAAGGACUAUUUGAUCUGGUUUGCUUGCUUCAAACCAAAAGGGGAAUGCAAAGCAGAGUGGAUGGUGAGCCCUAGUAUCACAAUGGCUAGAAAGGAAGGAGAAAGCUAAGUAACAUCUCCCACCGGAGUCUUUGCAAAUUGCAGCAAUACAUAGUAUAUUUGUUGAUGGCCCUUGUGGCAGAAUGUAAGCCGCUCUGAGUCCCCUCGGGGAGAAGGGCAGGGUAUAAAUGCAUGUAAUUAAUAAAUAAAUACAUGAAUUUAUUAUUGCAAACUGCAGGAUAUCCAAGGUGAGCUGGAUAUUUGCACACAACCAUUCCUCUUCCCUCGAACUAUGCUCCCCAAAACUUGAGAAAUUUCCCCCUUGUUUUCCACAUGAAGAUAUCCCAUCGAAACUAAUGACUCAAAGCCAGGCCCUAAUAUCUGGCAACUCUAUUG
rnacentral:lncRNA from 1 species